rnacentral:lncRNA from 1 species
CGGGCACCUUUUACCUUAUGCAUCCGGUAGCUAGGGGUCAUAUUCUACUCAUCAUGUGGAACUGGCCCCAGCUGUCCAAACCUUUGUGACCUCACAUUAGACAACUGAAAUCUAAUCCACUUGAAAGUACCCUGAAGACCACCCAGGUGUUUCAUAUGGCUGCUGUCUUCCUACUAAAUAGGUCCAUUACACAAGCUGGAGCACAUUUUACCAGCAGACUAAUUCACCCAGUGGCAUAGCAAGGCAAUGAUCCACGGACCAUUAUUGACUUUUCUGUGUAACUCCUGGCAUUGUGUAACAUGCAUCAAAAUUCAAAGGCUGCAGGUACUAAAGUACAAGCUGAAAAAAGCUUACAUGAAUAAGAUAAGGACACUACACUGGAUGAGCUCCCAGCCCACAGGACAGAAGACUCACAGGACCAGCAAUUCUGCUUCAGGAAGCAGGGGAGUACAGCAGAGAGGCUGCUGGAGAACACGGAGGGGGAGAGGCUGCAAGCCUGAAGUGAACGUGACGGGAAUCUUGAGAGCACAUCAGGUUGAACCGAUGAAUAGCACAUCUCUCAUUUUGGCUGAGAUGCUUUAUGUCUAAUUCCUGGUUUUCAUCCUAAUAGUUAUCCUCAUAUAUUUGAAGUGAUAGUAAAGAGAAAU